CUUAAUUUCUGUAUCAAAUUUUUUUUAAGCUCCUUGCUACGGAAAUUUCCGUCGAUAAUGUUAUAUCCAGCCAAACAAAAAUAUCAUUAUUAGCGACGGAAAUUAAGCCGUAGUAAAUCCGUCGCUGAAGAUCACUUAAUUAUUUACCCAGGGCACAAAAUUAGUAAAAGUUCGGUCUCUUCUUCUUCUAACAGUGUAGAACGCUGGGAGCAAAUAUGGGCGGCUGGGAGCAAAAUCAAUGGAAAACACACUUGAGGGCAAGAACAAGAGCAAAAAUUAGUAGCCAACGUGAAAUCUAAGGAACUAAGGUUUUCUUCUCAGUUAAUAAGUCAAGAAAUUGUAAAAGCACAAAAGAGCUAUGCAGAGGAAUUCAAUCAAAUAGGUGAAAAAGUUAGAGCACUAGGACAUGCAGCUGCUAACUACUCUGCAGUCCUUGCUGAGAAUUGCAAACUGCACAAUGAGGUGCAGGAGCUAAAAGGAAAUAUCAGAGUGUAUUGUCGGAUUAGGCCGUUCCUUCGUGGACAAAAGGAAAAACAAUCAGUUGUUGAAUACAUUGGAGAAAAUGGUGAGCUUAUUGUUGUAAAUCCUUCCAAACAAGGAAAGGAAGGCCGUAGGUCUUUCAAGUUUAAUAGUCUACAGUCCAGCUGCAACACAAGGUUUUCAGAUUCCUCCAUAUAAUUGCGGAUCUUAAUUAGUAAUUCGUUUAUCUCGGUUCUGCAUAUAUAAUGAACUCAAAAAUAAAUUCAUGAUUCCAACUCUUUACAGCUGAGGUAAAUAUUUAAAUCUUUCAAGCAUGAACUUGAUCCCAAUGGAAUCAAUUGGAAAAGUGUCUCUGGCGAGAUAAAAAACUUUUAUUGGGGAGAAUUCAAGAAGAAAUUCUAUUGGGACUCUUCCAUUGACAAUGCAGUGCGGAGCCAAUGGGAGAAUAAGGCAUCAAUAAGGUACAAAGAUUUCAUUUCCAAAAUGAAAACUAAAAAAAGUAGGCCAAGAGGUGUUCCAGUAGAAGUGUGGGAAAGUUGGGAACAACUUUGAAAAGAUCCCAAGUGUGUUGAAAAGUCAGAAAUAAAUGCAAACAAUCGUCGUGGCGGUAGGGUUGGAGUCUCCACCUGGACUCACACAGGCGGCUCUGUCUCCAUUGGGGAGUAUCGCAAGAGACUUGUAAGUAUAUCGCAGCUUAGCUUUAUUGCAACUCUGAACUUAAAAUUUCUUCUUGUUGGUGUUAAGAAUUGCUUAUAGUAACCUUACCAGAUAUCAUGGUAUCCAUCAUCUUUGGUUUGUCUGCUAGUUAAACACUAUGGAAUCUAGGCUGCUUGCUAGCUCUACCUUACUAUGUUUAUAUAGUUCUGUUUAAGAGUCAAAGUAUGAUUAUCUUGGCUCUGCUUGAUAGCCUGUUAUCUUCUCUGAGUAUCAUUACUGCCCUGAGGCUCUGCUUGAUAGCCUGUUACCUUACUAGUAUUUGUUUGUCAUUAAAUGACUGCCCUGAGCUUAUUUUGGUUUCCCGAAAGUUCUAAUCCAUGAUAGUUUUGACUUACUAGCAAGAAUUAAAGUAAUACUCAGUGUAUCAAUUGGAGACACAAUUUUACCAUGAAUCAAAUUCUUGUAAUAUAAUGUCUUAGAACAGUUUGUUAAAUUACAACCUUAAUGAGAUACUAUUCCUUUUAAGCAAGAUGUUAAGGAAGUAAACCACGAAGACAACUAAAAAUAAGACAACAAAAUCAUGUUUGAUAUUAUGUCUCUCAAAUUGUAAGCCUACAUAUACAGAAAACAAAGAGAGUCCAGUAGAACAUGGUUACUUAAUUAAUAUAUUUUGCAUCUUAAAAGCAACUAUUUUGUAGAAAAUAAUCCUUGAUAAAGCACACAGAAACUGCCUUGAUUCUUAUAGAGUAUACAACAACAAACAAGAUAUGUGGAGUGGCCAUUGUGAAAAGCCAUUGGUACUUUCUUUAAACACUAACUGGAAGCAUCUGUAUAUGUGGAGACUAAUUAUCAGGUUGGUUCCCCCUCUCCCACCUCCAUAUACAAAGUAGCAGUUCUUUAAUUGGUAGUGUGAUUAUUGCUCUAUUAUAAUAAAAAAUUUAAAGGCUUUUGUAUGAAUAUUGAGUGUGAAUUCUCAUUUUGCAGAAGCCAAGAAAUAUGUUAUUUCUCCUUGAGUAAGAAUAGAUUUGCUUUCUUUGUAAUCUUUUUCACGGAAAAUAUUAUCCAAUUCUAUCUCGUGACUCCAAAACAACCACCUAACGGAAAAUAUUAUCCUAGUUAAACAUAUCACCAUUUACACCAACUAAGUGAAAACAUGCUUUUUCACAUGCAUACCUGAAAAGAUGCAUCAUAAAGAGCCCGAGCAGCUGCAAGGCCAGCAACUCCGCCACCAAUCACAAUGACAGAUGGUGAAGGCCCCAGCCCGCUGUCCAUCACCUGAGAAGCAAGGAGCUAGAUGACAAAACCAAAAACUCAGUCAGAAAAGUUGUUAAGUAAGAUAAAAAUGAUAAGCAACCAACAAUUACACACAAGCAUAAUCUGAGGUAACUUAUAAAGACAGAAACUGACUCGAAAGGUGACAACGUGGCAUACUUAUUCACCAAAUAAAAGGUUACUGUAUUGCUUGCUGUUAUAAGCUCCAACUGUAUUGAAGUGCUGUUUUUUUCUUUUCUUUUUUGAUAUUGUAAUUGUUUUUUUUGUGUGUGUGUAUACAGCUGCACAAAGCCUGUGCAACAACCAUAAUUACAGUUUCGAUGUGCUUCUGAUUCUCAAAAUGAAAGGAACAUAAUAAUUUGCUAUCCAUCCCUUUUAAUCAAGAACCAAUACUACCUAUAAUUUGUGAUAUUGUCUAUUUGAUAAAUAGGAUUUCCAAAUACAGGGAACAUAUAAAUGAAAAAAUAAUUCUUGUGCCUCCAAUUUCCCAUUUAACAACUCAGUAAUAUGUUAUCUAAGCUGACAACGGCAUAGCAACUAUAAUUGUUUAAGAGUGUCAAAUUUCAUCUAAAAGCUAGCUUUAAAGUCACACUUUUAUUUACUUAACUAUGUAUUGAACACACCCCCUUGUGUGCGGCUUGAUUCUUUUUUUUUAUGAGCCAUGCACGUGCAAAUUCCUUUUGAAGUAUAUCGCAGCUUAUCUUUAUUGCAACUCUGAACUUAAAAUUUCUUCUUGUUGGUGUUAAGAAUUGCUUAUAGUAACCUUACCAGAGAAAAUAUUAUCGUUCAUCUUUGGUUUGUCUGCUAGUUAAACACUAUGGAAUCUAGGCUGCUUGCUAGCUCUAUCUUACUAUGUUUAUAUAGUUCUGUUUAAGAGUCAAAGUAUGAUAUCUUGGCUCUGCUUGAUAGCCUGUUAUCUUCUCUGAGUAUCAUGACUGCCCUGAGGCUCUGCUUGAUAGCCUGUUACCUUACUAGUAUUUGUUUGUCAUUAAAUGACUGCCCUGAGCUUAUUUUGGUUUCCUGAAAGUUCUAAUCCAUGAUAGUUUUGACUUACUAAGUUUAAAAGACUGUUUAUUGUUGUUAUGUUCUUAAUGAAAGAGAUGGUCCUUGAGUAACAUAUUUUGCAGAAGCCAAGAAAUAUGUUAUUUCUCCUUGAGUAAGAAUAGGUUUGCUUUCCUUGAGUAAGAGAUGGUCCAAAAAGUGGGCAGAAGUCUGUUGUAAUUGCCCAGUUUGAUAUUGCAUUCAUGUAGUCUCCAACAAACUUUCUUGGAAUCCAUAUCCUGCUCCUGCUGAUCCACAAUUGUACCAGAUAACCACAUAUUCUGGACUUCAUUAUUAGGAUGAUAAAAUGUCAAAGUUGAAACAAAAAUAGAAAACAGACAUUGCUACACACACAAUGUAACCAGUCAAAUAAAUUCAAUAGCAAGUCUAUUUACCACACAAGUAGAACCAAUUGAAGGCAUGCCAUAGAGAAUGAUCAGCUAGAGAUAAUACAUGAUAAUGUGCAUAUGCUAACUUAGACGUGUGACAAAACUUCUGGUUCUACUAUAGUAAUAUUUUUAUCCUUUUAAAAAUAUUUAUUUUUGUAUAGGCUGUUGAAAAGGGUCGAGACCCAACACCAAGUGAGUUACAUUUGUAUGUCCAUACACAUGGGCAUGAUGGAAAGCCUUUUCUUGAUGAGAAAGCUCGAAUCGUGCAUGUAACUCCAGUAUUUUAUAAUCUUAUUUACUACAAUGUAAAGAGUAUGAGAAGUAUCCUUUUUUUAUUAGUUAAUUAAAUGCUCAACAUUCUUAACUGUUUUAAUUUCACUACUUAUUACACCUCUUUUACAGGAAAGGUAUCAGGAAAUAUUACAGGAAGCUGUUCAUGGGGUUCAUCCAUCGGUUUUAGAUGAUGACAACCCCUAAGCCUCGUAUUUGGAAGCUUUUUGUUUUAAACUUUAUUAUUGGUGUUAGGGAUAAUUCGCAUCUUUUUGGUUUGGAAGCUUUUUGUUUUGAACUUUAUUGUUGGUGUUAGGGAUAAUUCGCACCUUUUUGGUUUGAACUUUAUUAUUGGUGUUAGGGAUAAUUCAAACUUAAUUGUAUUAGCUAUAUGCAUUUUGAUAUCAUUUUGGACCUUGAAGUAUGUUAAUUUGUAUGAAUUUUAGUUAUUAUUAA